UACGUAGGGUGCAAGCGUUAAUCGGAAUUACUGGGCGUAAAGCGUGCGCAGGCGGCUAUGCAAGACAGAUGUGAAAUCCCCGGGCUCAACCUGGGAACUGCAUUUGUGACUGCAUAGCUAGAGUACGGUAGAGGGGGAUGGAAAUUCCCAGUGUAGAGGUGAAAUUCGUAGAUAGUUGGGAAGAACACCGGUGGCGAAGGCGGCUCACUGGCUCGUAUCUGACGCUCAGGCGCGACAGCGUGGGGAUCAAACAGG
rnacentral:rRNA from 1 species